AAGCAGGUUAAUAUUCCUGCACCAGCUGGAAGUGACGGAUGAAGUAAAUUGUGAGUUAUUACUGGAUUGAACUUGCAGUGAAUUUGUCCCUGGAAAUAGCUCCAGCAUUAGACCGUACCAAAACCGACACAGGUAGGAAGGUAGAGUAUACCAAGGCGCUUGAGAGAACUAUGUUGAAGGAACUCGGCAAAUUACACUUGUAACUUCGGGAUAAAAGUGACCUGCUAUUGGGCAACCAGUAGGAGGUGGCACAGAAGAGGGGGUAGCGACUGUUUACUAAAAACAUAGCACUAUGCAAAGUCGAGAGACGACGUAUAUGGUGUGACGCCUGCCCGGUGCCGGAAGGUUAAUAGGAGGGGUGCAAGCUCCGAAUUGAAGCCCCGGUGAACGGCGGCCGUAACUAUAACGGUCCUAAGGUAGCGAAAUUCCUUGUCGGGUAAGUUCCGACCUGCACGAAUGGCGUAACGAUUUCCCCACUGUCUCCAACAUAGACUCAGUGAAAUUGAAUUCUCGGUUAAGAUGCCGAGUAACCGUGGUUAGACGGAAAGACCCCGUGCACCUUUACUGCAGCUUUGUAUUGGUAUUAGGGGACAGAUGUGUAGCAUAGGUGGGAGACUUUGAAGGAUUGGCGCUAGCCAGUCUGGAGUCACCAGUGAAAUACCACUCUUCUGUUCCUUGAUGCCUAACCAUACACCGUUAUCCGGUGUUGGGACCAUGCAUGGUGGGCAGUUUGACUGGGGCGGUCGCCUCCCAAAGAGUAACGGAGGCGCGCGAUGGUAGGCUCAGGUUGGUCGGAAAUCAACUGUGAGAGUGCAAUGGCAUAAGCCUGCCUGACUGCGAGACUGACAAGUCGAGCAGAGACGAAAGUCGGUCAUAGUGAUCCGGUGGUCCCGCGUGGAAGGGCCAUCGCUCAACGGAUAAAAGGUACGCCGGGGAUAACAGGCUGAUCUCUCCCAAGAGUCCAUAUCGACGGGGAGGUUUGGCACCUCGAUGUCGGCUCAUCGCAUCCUGGGGCUGAAGCAGGUCCCAAGGGUUUGGCUGUUCGCCAAUUAAAGCGGUACGCGAGCUGGGUUUAGAACGUCGUGAGACAGUUCGGUCCCUAUCUGCCAUGGUUGUGGAAGCUUGAGAGGAUCUGCCCUUAGUACGAGAGGACCGGGGUGGACGUACCUCUGGUGUACCUAUUGUAGCGCCAGCUGCAUCGUAGGGUAGCUAUGUACGGAAUGGAUAACCGCUGAAAGCAUCUAAGCGGGAAGCCAACCUCAAAACUAGGCUUCGUUAUAGGAUCGUGGAAGACUACCACGUUGAUAGGCUGGGUGUGGAAGUGUGGUAACACAUGAAGCUAACCAGUACUAAUAAUCCAAUGCUUGAAUUA
rnacentral:rRNA from 1 species